rnacentral:ncRNA from 1 species
GGUCAUCGCGCUUGGUUGAAAAGCCAGUGGCGCGAAGCUACCGUGUGCCGGAUUAUGACUGAACGCCUCUAAGUCAGAAUCCAAGCUAGCAUGCGACGCCUGCGCCCGCCGCUCGCCCCGACCCACGUUAGGGGCGCUUGCGCCCGAAGGGCCCGUGCCAUUGGCUAGGCCGGUCCGACCGACGUGCUGUGAUUGGCCGCCUCGAAGGUCCCUUCCCAACGGGCAGUUGGCUGAAUCCUUUGCAGACGACUUAAAUAUGCGACGGGGCAUUUUAAGUGGUAGAGUGGCCUUGCUGCCACGAUCCACUG